rnacentral:misc_RNA from 1 species
UCAAACUUGGUCAUUUAGAGGAAGUAAAAGUCGUAACAAGGUCUCCGUAGGUGAACCUGCGGAGGGAUCAUUACCGAGUGAGGGCCUCUGGCCCGACCUCCAACCCUUUGUUAUCAAAACCACUGUUGCCUCGGGGGCGACCCGCGCCCGUCGGCGCCGGGGCCCCCGACGGACCACUUCAAAACUCUGCAUCUAGACGUCGGAUUCAAAAGUUUAAUUGAUUUAAAACUUUCAACAACGGAUCUCUUGGUUCUGGCAUCGAUGAAGAACGCAGC